rnacentral:rRNA from 2 species
CACUAUCGUUAACUGAAUACAUAGGUUAACGAGGCGAACCGGGGGAACUGAAACAUCUAAGUACCCCGAGGAAAAGAAAUCAACCGAGAUUCCCCCAGUAGCGGCGAGCGAACGGGGAGCAGCCCAGAGUCUGAAUCAGCUUGUGUGUUAGUGGAACGGUCUGGAAAGUCCGACGGUACAGGGUGAUAGUCCCGUACACCAAAAUGCACAGGUUGUGAACUCGAAGAGUAGGGCGGGACACGUGGUAUCCUGUCUGAAUAUGGGGGGACCAUCCUCCAAGGCUAAAUACUCCUGACUGACCGAUAGUGAACCAGUACCGUGAGGGAAAGGCGAAAAGAACCCCGGCGAGGGGAGUGAAAAAGAACCUGAAACCGUGUACGUACAAGCAGUGGGAGCACCUUCGGGUGUGACUGCGUACCUUUUGUAUAAUGGGUCAGCGACUUAUAUUCUGUAGCAAGGUUAACCGUAUAGGGGAGCCGCAGGGAAACCGAGUCUUAACUGGGCGUUAAGUUGCAGGGUAUAGACCCGAAACCCGGUGAUCUAGCCAUGGGCAGGUUGAAGGUUGGGUAACACUAACUGGAGGACCGAACCGACUAAUGUUGAAAAAUUAGCGGAUGACUUGUGGCUGGGGGUGAAAGGCCAAUCAAACCGGGAGAUAGCUGGUUCUCCCCGAAAGCUAUUUAGGUAGCGCCUCGUGAAUUCAUCUUCGGGGGUAGAGCACUGUUUCGGCUAGGGGGUCAUCCCGACUUACCAACCCGAUGCAAACUACGAAUACCGAAGAAUGUUAUCACGGGAGACACACGGCGGGUGCUAACGUCCGUCGUGAAGAGGGAAACAACCCAGACCGCCAGCUAAGGUCCCAAAGUCAUGGUUAAGUGGGAAACGAUGUGGGAAGGCACAGACAGCCAGGAUGUUGGCUUAGAAGCAGCCAUCAUUUAAAGAAAGCGUAAUAGCUCACUGGUCGAGUCGGCCUGCGCGGAAGAUGUAACGGGGCUAAACCAUGCACCGAAGCUGCGGCAGCGACACUAUGUGUUGUUGGGUAGGGGAGCGUUCUGUAAGCCUGCGAAGGUGUGCUGUGAGGCAUGCUGGAGGUAUCAGAAGUGCGAAUGCUGACAUAAGUAACGAUAAAGCGGGUGAAAAGCCCGCUCGCCGGAAGACCAAGGGUUCCUGUCCAACGUUAAUCGGGGCAGGGUGAGUCGACCCCUAAGGCGAGGCCGAAAGGCGUAGUCGAUGGGAAACAGGUUAAUAUUCCUGUACUUGGUGUUACUGCGAAGGGGGGACGGAGAAGGCUAUGUUAGCCGGGCGACGGUUGUCCCGGUUUAAGCAUGUAGGCUGGUUAUCCAGGCAAAUCCGGAUAAUCAAGGCUGAGGUGUGAUGACGAGGCACUACGGUGCUGAAGUAACAAAUGCCCUGCUUCCAGGAAAAGCCUCUAAGCAUCAGGUAACAUCAAAUCGUACCCCAAACCGACACAGGUGGUCAGGUAGAGAAUACCAAGGCGCUUGAGAGAACUCGGGUGAAGGAACUAGGCAAAAUGGUGCCGUAACUUCGGGAGAAGGCACGCUGGUGUGUAGGUGAAGCCCCUGCGGGUGGAGCUGAGACCAGUCGAAGAUACCAGCUGGCUGCAACUGUUUAUUAAAAACACAGCACUGUGCAAACACGAAAGUGGACGUAUACGGUGUGACGCCUGCCCGGUGCCGGAAGGUUAAUUGAUGGGGUUAUCCGUAAGGAGAAGCUCUUGAUCGAAGCCCCGGUAAACGGCGGCCGUAACUAUAACGGUCCUAAGGUAGCGAAAUUCCUUGUCGGGUAAGUUCCGACCUGCACGAAUGGCGUAAUGAUGGCCAGGCUGUCUCCACCCGAGACUCAGUGAAAUUGAACUCGCUGUGAAGAUGCAGUGUACCCGCGGCAAGACGGAAAGACCCCGUGAACCUUUACUAUAGCUUGACACUGAACAUUGAGCCUUGAUGUGUAGGAUAGGUGGGAGGCUUUGAAGCGUGGACGCCAGUCUGCGUGGAGCCAACCUUGAAAUACCACCCUUUAAUGUUUGAUGUUCUAACGUUGGCCCCUUACCGGGGUUGCGGACAGUGUCUGGUGGGUAGUUUGACUGGGGCGGUCUCCUCCCAAAGCGUAACGGAGGAGCACGAAGGUUAGCUAAUCCUGGUCGGACAUCAGGAGGUUAGUGCAAUGGCAUAAGCUAGCUUGACUGCGAGCGUGACGGCGCGAGCAGGUGCGAAAGCAGGUCAUAGUGAUCCGGUGGUUCUGAAUGGAAGGGCCAUCGCUCAACGGAUAAAAGGUACUCCGGGGAUAACAGGCUGAUACCGCCCAAGAGUUCAUAUCGACGGCGGUGUUUGGCACCUCGAUGUCGGCUCAUCACAUCCUGGGGCUGAAGUAGGUCCCAAGGGUAUGGCUGUUCGCCAUUUAAAGUGGUACGCGAGCUGGGUUUAGAACGUCGUGAGACAGUUCGGUCCCUAUCUGCCGUGGGCGCUGGAGAAUUGAGGGGGGCUGCUCCUAGUACGAGAGGACCGGAGUGGACGCAUCACUGGUGUUCGGGUUGUCAUGCCAAUGGCACUGCCCGGUAGCUAAAUGCGGAAGAGAUAAGUGCUGAAAGCAUCUAAGCACGAAACUUGCCCCGAGAUGAGUUCUCCCUGAGACUUUAAGUCUCCUGAAGGAACGUUGAAGACGACGACGUUGAUAGGCCGGGUGUGUAAGCGCAGCGAUGCGUUGAGCUAACCGGUACUAAUGAACCGUGAGGCUUAACCUU